UGAACGCUAGCGGGAGGCUUAAUACAUGCAAGUCGAGGGGCAGCUAUGUUUUCGGAUAUAGGCGACCGGCGAACGGGUGAGUAACGCGUACGCAAUCUGGCUACAGAUGGGGGAUAGCCCUGGGAAACUGGGAUUAAUACCGCAUAAAAUAAUGAUAUGGCAUCAUAUAAUUAUUAAAGGAGAGAUCCGUCUGUAGAUGAGCGUGCGUUCUAUUAGUUAGUUGGUGAGGUAACGGCUCACCAAGGCGAUGAUAGAUAGGGGGCGUGAGAGCGUGAUCCCCCACACGGGUACUGAGACACGGACCCGACUCCUACGGGAGGCAGCAGUAAGGAAUAUUGGACAAUGGGGGCAACCCUGAUCCAGCCAUCCCGCGUGCAGGAAGACAGCUCUAUGGGUUGUAAACUGCUUUUGUAUGGGAAGAAUAGUUAAUUUUCAAAUUGAUUUGACGGUACCAUAAGAAUAAGCACCGGCUAACUCC
rnacentral:rRNA from 1 species